GUUACGCUAAUACCGCAUAUUCUGUGAGCAGGAAAGAGGGGGAUCGCAAGACCUCUUGCUUUAGGAGCGGCCGAUGUCGGAUUAGCUAGUUGGUGAGGUAAAGGCUCACCAAGGCGACGAUCCGUAGCGGGUCUGAGAGGAUGAUCCGCCACACUGGGACUGAGACACGGCCCAGACUCCUACGGGAGGCAGCAGUGGGGAAUUUUGGACAAUGGGCGCAAGCCUGAUCCAGCCAUGCCGCGUGAGUGAAGAAGGCCUUCGGGUUGUAAAGCUCUUUCGGUGGGGAAGAAAUUGCACAGGAUAAUACCUUGUGUAGAUGACGGUACCCGCAUAAGAAGCACCGGCUAACUACGUG
rnacentral:rRNA from 1 species